rnacentral:tRNA from 1 species
GCGUCGGCUGGGCAUUGGCGAGCCCAAGUGGCUGUAACCCACCCGCAAUCGCUGUGGCGGUUCGACUCCGUCCCGACGCA